rnacentral:rRNA from 1 species
UACGGAGGGUGCAAGCGUUGUCCGGAUUUAUUGGGUUUAAAGGGUGCGCAGGCGGGCCUUUAAGUCAGUGGUGAAAUCCCAUAGCUUAACUAUGGAACUGCCAUUGAUACUGGAGGUCUUGAGUUCAGUUGAGGUAAGCGGAAUUGAUGGUGUAGCGGUGAAAUGCAUAGAUACCAUCAGGAACACCGAUUGCGAAGGCAGCUUACUGGACAUGGACUGACGCUGAGGCACGAAAGCGUGGGGAGCGAACAGG